GCUAUUUAAGUCAUUGAGAAAGUAGCCAACUCGUAUGAGAAAGUUUGUUGCCAAGGUCGCCAGACCGGAGCAACUCCGUCAUUCGUCGUCAACAGCAUGCCGCCCAUGUCGAGGAGUUGCCAACAUGUGCCGCAUCGAGGUCAAGGACAGGUACCACAAGAUAAGGAUCAUGAUGCUGUGAUGAGUUCGUGAGAGGUCUAGGUCGUCGUCUCACAAUCAACUAUGGUUGCUGCAUCUUUGUCUUUGUAUGAUUUAAUUAUUUGACUAUUUUGUAUAGAACUACAUUAUAUAUUAAUGAUGUGACAUUCGUUUCU